ensembl:lncRNA
GAAAUUGUCAGGUGGUACAGAGCCAAAAGUCGGCUGUUUUAGAAAAGUGACUAUGUACAGAUUCCCUGAACUUAGUAUUUGAUUCCAUCUUCUAAGUAGAUAAUAUUCUUAAGAAGUCUCAAGCACAGUAGUACGUUUUUUAUGUCAGCCCACAAUGCCCUUUGAAAUCUUUUUACGGAAGCUCAGAGAAGACAAAGAAUUGGAAAACGUAGCUUUAGAAAUCUACUUUUAAAAACUGGUGGCACUACGUUUACGGAUGGGUGGCCUAGUAGACUGAUAAUGGUCCCAAAGUUAUCAAGUCCUAACCCUUGAAGCCUGUGAAUGUUAUCUUAUGUGGAAAAGAUCUUGAGAUGGAGAGGUUAUCCUGAGUUACUGGAUGGAUCUUAAAUGCAAUCAAGUGCCCUUAUAAAAGAGAGGCAGAGGGAGAUUUGACACAGAGAAGACACACACAAAAACAGAGGAGAAGGUGAUGUGAAGAUGGAACAAAGAGAGAUUUGAAGAUACCGGCCUUGAAGAAUGGAGUGAUGCAGACACAAGUCAAGGAACGCUGGCAGCCACCAAAAGCAAGAAGAGGCAAGGAACAGAUUCUCCCCACCAGAGGGAGCAUGACCUUGACACCUUGAUUUCAGACCAAUGAUACUGAUUUUGGAUUUCAAGCCUACAGAACUAUGAAAGAAUAAAUUUAUUUAUUUAUUUUUUAGACAUCUACUUUGUGGUACUUUGUUCCAGCAACCACAAGAAUUGAAUGCAAGGAGUUAACAUGAUGCCCUUUCUUCAAAUUUCAAUAGUGGAAUAGAGAUUGAACCAGCAUCUCAUGCCUGAGGUCUUGGGAUGUGGCCAUAUAAUUCAAAGCACACACGGAGGGGUAGUCACUCUAGCCCUGUGUUCAGGGCAUAGGCUCUGCAUUCAGGAUAUCUGGGUUUGAAUCUCACCUCUUACUAGUUUUGUCACUUUGGGCAAGCUACUUAGCUCUUUCUAUCUAAGUGUAUUCAUCUGUAAAAUGGGAAUAAUAACAAUUACACCCAUGCAUUACAAUAAUGGUUGCAAUAACACCUCUUGUAAGAGGUUUUAUUAAAGUUGAGAUAAUUCAUAUAAACUGAGCACAGAGUAAGUGCACAGUAAAUGUUAGCUAAUAUCGUUAUCUUAGUCCCAACAUAUGGACAAUGACCAUCAUUUUCUCAGAUUGCUCUUACUCAACCAUAGUCUUUCAUUCACAUUCAGUUUGUUAAUAGGGUUUAAAGAAAUUCACUUAGUAUUUAAAUAUUUUGUAUUAUGGUGUUUGGAGUCAAUUUUCUUAAACUGUAGAAUUCUUUAAAAAAUGACAACACUUUUCUAACUAUGA